UUGUUAAUGCAGCUUGCUAGUGCAAUAUGGCACGGCAAUAGGUCUAAAGCCCUUAAAUGCAGAUAGGACAA
rnacentral:ribozyme from 2 species